GCGGCAGUGGUUCAAUGGUAGAAUACGAGCUUGCCAAGCUUGUGACCCGAGUCCGAUUCUCGGCUGCCGCA
rnacentral:tRNA from 1 species